UUUGCUCUCGGUCAGACGAAUCUCGCGUCCACAACAUGCUCUCCACUGUCAACCAGUUGGUCCCCGAACGCACACAUGAAUCCACCUGCAGGAGGGUGUGGAAGCUCGACAAAUUGAGGUCAGGAGACUUAAAGCUAAGCUUGACGAAAGGAGGAUUGAAGAGGCGAAGAUCCAGCUACUGUAUAUCGACCAGGACUCAGUGACACAGCAGCUGCUGGAAACCUGCUCAGUGCUCUGGGCUUUGACUACAAGAGGAGCUUUGAUUAGUCGAGCAGAGAGCCUGCAGAAGAGGA